rnacentral:lncRNA from 1 species
GUUCCUGCUCGAUGGAGGAGCCCAAAGCGGCCGCAGCGGAGCGCGAGUGACGGCGAGCGUAGCUAGAGACGCGUAACGCGGGCGCUAAAACGCUGAUUAAAAGCCGGCGGUAAUUGCCGGGUUGUGACGAGGCCUUGAGCAACCCGUCGCGCCUUUGAAGCCAGUCCCGCUCGGAGCGCGAGGUUCAACCGGAGACCUCCGGACGUCCCUUUCCACCUAAAUUACUUAUCGCUGGGGGGAAGGCGAGUCUGGCUUCCGUGUGACUCAGGUAUUUCUUUCGAUAGUAGCUUCGAAAAUGAAGGUCAGAGGGCUCAGCUGGUGAAGACGUACGGAACGCCUCAACGGGGCGACUCUGAUUUAAGCAGACGCUCGGGCCCGAUUCCUGGGGAAGGAGCAGCGACCUGGUUUGGCCGGAAGGAACGCGGAACGGGAGAGAAAAGCGGUCGAAGGCGAGAGCCGAGCUCGCCCCUUAACGGGCCUUUGAGCGGCGACACCUCUUCCCUCUCAGUAAUAAGGGAGCUGCCGGGAAUGGGAUUUCAUUCCCUACGUAUAUGCGGACGUCCGUCUGCACCGGUCGCUCGGGGCUUCUCUUUUCAGGUGAAUCGCCCCGGAAAAAGCCGCUGUCUCGUCUCGCUAGACGCUGCCUCCUUUAGGAGCAACUUGCAUGUUGUAUAAUUAGGGAGCCAAAGCCCAAACUGUUUAAAUUUCCUCCGACAGCAGCCUCCGUGUGGGGAAAACACGAUUUCUUUCCCGCUUUCGUAUCCCAGCGCGUGUUGUCAUAUCACCGGGGUUGUGUUAAAGUAUUUCUGUGCUAACGUUGGAGCCAGCAACGCCGCCGGCUCUGCUCGCGAAACCCAGCCUGAAGCUUAGUCCAGCUUGUUUCCAGGUUCUCCGGCAGAAACGGAGUCCGCUGCUUGAUUUCCGUGAAAACACUUGCCACCGCACCAAAGCCUCGACCGUCUUUUCGCUUCUGCGUCGCGCCGGCAUGAAUAAACAGUCUAAAGUAGCUGUGGUUAGACA